rnacentral:rRNA from 1 species
UGGGUCAGCGACUUAUAUUCUGUAGCAAGGUUAACCGAAUAGGGGAGCCGGAGGGAAACCGAGUCUUAAUUGGGCGUUAAGUUGCAGGGUAUAGACCCGAAACCCGGUGAUCUAGCCAUGGGCAGGUUGAAGGUUGGGUAACACUAACUGGAGGACCGAACCGACUAAUGUUGAAAAAUUAGCGGAUGACCUGUGGCUGGGGGUGAAAGGCCAAUCAAACCGGGAGAUAGCUGGUUCUCCCCGAAAGCUAUUUAGGUAGCGCCUCGUGAACUCAUCUCCGGGGGUAGAGCACUGUUUCGGCUAGGGGGCCAUCCCGGCUUACCAACCCGAUGCAAACUGCGAAUACCGGAGAAUGUUAUCACGGGAGACACACGGCGGGUGCUAACGUCCGUCGUGAAGAGGGAAACAACCCAGACCGCCAGCUAAGGUCCCAAAGUCAUGGUUAAGUGGGAAACGAUGUGGGAAGGCCCAGACAGCCAGGAUGUUGGCUUAGAAGCAGCCAUCAUUUAAAGAAAGCGUAAUAGCUCACUGGUCGAGUCGGCCUGCGCGGAAGAUGUAACGGGGCUAAACCAUGCACCGAAGCUGCGGCAGCGACACUCAGGUGUUGUUGGGUAGGGGAGCGUUCUGUAAGCCUGUGAAGGUGUGUCGUGAGGCAUGCUGGAGGUAUCAGAAGUGCGAAUGCUGACAUAAGUAACGAUAAAGCGGGUGAAAAGCCCGCUCGCCGGAAGACCAAGGGUUCCUGUCCAACGUUAAUCGGGGCAGGGUGAGUCGACCCCUAAGGCGAGGCCGAAAGGCGUAGUCGAUGGGAAACAGGUUAAUAUUCCUGUACUUGGUGUUACUGCGAAGGGGGGACGGAGAAGGCUAUGUUGGCCGGGCGACGGUUGUCCCGGUUUAAGCGUGUAGGUGUGUGUUCCAGGUAAAUCCGGUUCACUUUAACACUGAGGCGUGACGACGAGGCACUACGGUGCUGAAGCAACAAAUGCCCUGCUUCCAGGAAAAGCCUCUAAGCAUCAGGUAACAUCAAAUCGUACCCCAAACCGACACAGGUGGUCAGGUAGAGAAUACCAAGGCGCUUGAGAGAACUCGGGUGAAGGAACUAGGCAAAAUGGUGCCGUAACUUCGGGAGAAGGCACGCUGACACGUAGGUGAAGUGAUUUACUCAUGGAGCUGAAGUCAGUCGAAGAUACCAGCUGGCUGCAACUGUUUAUUAAAAACACAGCACUGUGCAAACACGAAAGUGGACGUAUACGGUGUGACGCCUGCCCGGUGCCGGAAGGUUAAUUGAUGGGGUCAGCGCAAGCGAAGCUCCUGAUCGAAGCCCCGGUAAACGGCGGCCGUAACUAUAACGGUCCUAAGGUAGCGAAAUUCCUUGUCGGGUAAGUUCCGACCUGCACGAAUGGCGUAAUGAUGGCCAGGCUGUCUCCACCCGAGACUCAGUGAAAUUGAACUCGCUGUGAAGAUGCAGUGUACCCGCGGCAAGACGGAAAGACCCCGUGAACCUUUACUAUAGCUUGACACUGAACAUUGAGCCUUGAUGUGUAGGAUAGGUGGGAGGCUUUGAAGCGUGGACGCCAGUCUGC